rnacentral:rRNA from 1 species
GUCCACGCCGUAAACUAUGGACGCUAGCCGUCGGCAAGCUUGCUUGUCGGUGGCGCAGCUAACGCAUUAAGCGUCCCGCCUGGGGAGUACGGCCGCAAGGUUAAAACUCAAAGGAAUUGACGGGGGCCCCGCACAAGCGGUGGAGCAUGUGGUUUAAUUCGACGCAACGCGAAGAACCUUACCAGCUCUUGACAUGUCGAGACGGUUUCCAGAGAUGGAUUCCUCCUAGCAAUAGGCUCGAACACAGGUGCUGCAUGGCUGUCGU